UACGUAGGGGCAAGCGUUGUCCGGAAUCAUUGGGCGUAAAGAGCGCGUAGGCGGCCCUGUAAGUCCGCUGUGAAAGUCAAGGGCUCAACCCUUGAAUGCCGGUGGAUACUGCAGGGCUAGAGUCCGGAAGAGGAGUGUGGAAUUCCUGGUGUAGCGGUGAAAUGCGCAGAUAUCAGGAGGAACACCAAUGGCGAAGGCAGCACUCUGGGACGUGACUGACGCUGAGACGCGAAAGCGUGGGGAGCAAACAGG
rnacentral:rRNA from 1 species